UGAAAAAUCAAGAUCCUUCCCGGGUGCCCCACACCAUUCAAAAGGUGGAUGGUAAAUGAAGCAUUAGUUGUUAUUCAGAACAUGCAUGGUGUCAUAAUUUUU